UGGGGAAUCUUGCACAAUGGGCGGAAGCCUGAUGCAGCGACGCCGCGUGCGGGACGAAGGCCUUCGGGCUGUAAACCGCUUUCAGCAGGGACGAGGCGAGAGUGACGGUACCUGCAGAAGAAGCCCCGGCUAACUACGUGCCAG
rnacentral:rRNA from 1 species